UACGUAGGGUGCGAGCGUUAAUCGGAAUUACUGGGCGUAAAGCGUGCGCAGGCGGUUUUGUAAGACAGAUGUGAAAUCCCCGGGCUCAACCUGGGAACUGCAUUUGUGACUGCAAGGCUAGAGUACGGCAGAGGGGGGUAGAAUUCCACGUGUAGCAGUGAAAUGCGUAGAUAUGUGGAGGAAUACCGAUGGCGAAGGCAGCCCCCUGGGUCGAUACUGACGCUCAUGCACGAAAGCGUGGGGAGCAAACAGG
rnacentral:rRNA from 2 species